rnacentral:lncRNA from 1 species
AUUUUUUUAAAUACGCGGUCGCACUGAAAGUACUCUUUUGACAUCCGGCAGUAAUGUACCAACCACAACCACUCUGACUCGUGACGGUGAGUCUCUGAGGAAGAGUGGCUGAUCAGUCAUCUAAUUAGUAUUAGACCCUCACAGGGGGUCAACUGAGCCCUAAAUUUCGGUACCACGGGUUGUAUCAGCGUUCCAAGGCUGUGCAUUGAGGUCGGCCCCCUAGUGGGAGUAUCGUGGUGGCUGUGGUAGCCCAUAUGUUACGCGGGCAGAGCCGUUAAGUUCGACGUCUAGUUGCGUUUCUCAACCGGGUGCCGUGACCCAUUGAUCGGAAGAGGUGAUAGAUACACCUUCGCUCCUCACCAAGGGGAAAAGUAUGCCCGACUAGUAUACUUUCGAAUUGGUACCGGGCAGAGUCGCUAUGUAUUUGCUAUAGCUUCUUAUCCUGGGAAACUCAAUACCGUGGUUGAAAUCCCUUCCUGAGGAACCGCUACGUUAAAUAAGGGCUGAGAGAUCAGAAAAAAUAUGUACCUAUCUACUCGUUGCUCUCUGACUGCUACUGGAAGCAGACGUGUUUUGAAGCGUUCCGCCUUGCCGUCGGUUUUUCAGUGCGAAAGAGUGUGUUUUCCCUUUUUUAAUUAGUUGCCGAAUAGACGAAAUUACUAGCAAAUUAACAUUUGCCACGUGUUUCUCAAAAGCCACGUUUCUCUCAGAAGCCACGUGUUUCUCAGCU